UACGGAGGGGGCGAGCGUUAUUCGGAAUUAUUGGGCGUAAAGGGCGCGUAGGCGGCUGAACAAGUCAAAGGUGAAAUCCCUCGGCUCAACUGAGGAACUGCCUUUGAAACUGUUCGGCUUGAGGCCGGGAGGGGGUAGCGGAAUUCCCAGUGUAGCGGUGAAAUGCGUAGAGAUCGGGUGGAACACCAGGGGCGCAGGCGACUUCCUGGCCCUGACCUGACGCUGAGGCGCGAGAGCGUGGGGAGCGAACCGG
rnacentral:rRNA from 1 species